rnacentral:rRNA from 1 species
UGCCUUUUAAUUGAAGGCUAGAACAAAAGAUUUAACAUUUUAAUUCUUUUCUUUAAAUUUUAAUUUUAAAUUAUCUUAAAUGUAAAAAGACAUUUAUUUAAAAGAAAGACGAUAAGACCCUAUUGAACUUAACUUAAGUUAAACUGGGGAAGUAAAUUAAUUAUCACUUUAAUCUCAAUAUUUUAAUAUUAAUCUAAUUAUUUAAUUAAUUAAAUCAGUUACCAUAGGGAUAACAGCGUAAUUUUCAUUAUAAGAUCUUAUAUAAAUAAAAGUUUACGACCUCGAUGUUGAAUUAACUACUUAAUUUUUGCAAAAAAAAAGAGAAGAAGUCUGUUCGACUUUUAAAAAGUUACAUGAUUUGAGUUCAGACCGGUAUAAGCCAGGUCAGUUUCAAUCUUCUAUAAUAUAAUAUACAGUACGAAAGGACCUAUAAUAAUAAUAUUAUUAUCAAUUUAGCAAAUAAAUGCAUUAGAAUUAGAAUCUAAUUAAACUUCAUUAUACUC